GAUAGAGGAGCUUGGGGAACACCUCCGUCAGGACACAGUCCCUGCAGUCCAUGAGCCUCAUCGAGAUCGGGAACCCUUCCCAGAGCCUGGAGAAUGUCUGCCACUGGGCUU